GUAAGGAAUAUUGGUCAAUGGACGAAAGUCUGAACCAGCCAUGCCGCGUGUGUGAAGAAGGCCUUUUGGUUGUAAAGCACUUUAAGCGAGGAGGAGGCUACUUGGAUUAAUACUCUAGGAUAGUGGACGUUACUCGCAGAAUAAGCACCGGCUAACUCUGUGCCAGCAGCCGCGGUAAUACAGAGGGUGCGAGCGUUAAUCGGAUUUACUGGGCGUAAAGCGCGCGUAGGUGGCCAAUUAAGUCAAAUGUGAAAUCCCCGAGCUUAACUUGGGAAUUGCAUUCGAUACUGGGUGGCUAGAGUAUGGGAGAGGAUGGUAGAAUUCCAGGUGUAGCGGUGAAAUGCGUAGAGAUCUGGAGGAAUACCGAUGGCGAAGGCAGCCAUCUGGCCUAAUACUGACACUGAGGUGCGAAAGCAUGGGGAGUAAACAGGAUUAGAUACCCCGGUAGUCC
rnacentral:rRNA from 1 species